CGUGUUUGGAAUGCAGAGAGAGUGAGCUAGCCAUAUUUAGUAUUAUUUUCACUUUCAGUUACUAAGCUAGCAAAUACAGCUGACUCAAACACCCAGCUCAAACAGAGAGAGAUGCUAUCUUAGCUAGCUGGCUAUGGCUAUCCAUCACUGGAACUCUUCCAUGUCAAGCUCUGACACUGGCUGCUCCAUCUCUACCUCCAGCAUGGCCCGGCUGCUCUCUGCUCUCUCCCCCACUCCCAAGCCACUCUCCCUGGGUACGAAGGCCAGCCCUGCCCCUCUCCUGCCCAUCGCCAUGUGGAGGAAAGAGAAGGUAAUGGCAGAAAUGGUAUCUAGAUGCAUGGGAGAUCAUUGCAUGGGAGAUCAUUUGGCCGAUGAACAGUGUGAACCUCAACACCUCCCCUCUAAUCGGCUGAAAAUGGCUUAAAUUGCGAUCAGUAUGGUCCUUCACCACUUCUUCCGUGAGACCUGAGUCCGAGCCAGCAACCUGUACACAGCAGUCGAUAUAGAUAUCAACGGCCUUUUCUCUAUUGCUCUUUCUCUCAGGAGCGACAUGGGAUGCAUGUGGACUGAGCAUGGAGAGAGAUCCAGUCCAAACUUCUCUCAUGCUGCUGGUGUACUGGUAGGAAAAUGGACAAAGACAUAAUGGACUGUAAAGGACAGUGGCGGCUCAGGUGAGAGACAUUAUCAAGGGCCACCCACUUUGAACAUGUCCCAUUAAAAGGGCAAACUAAAACACUAUCUGAAGAAGAACAUGAAGAAAUGCCAGGAAGAAUGAGUGCUGUGAAGGGGGUUGGUCAACCGUGCCAGUAAUUGAUUUAGGCCUGUCCAAAAUUGUUUAUUUGGGGUAUCAGGUUGAUUGUGGAGGUCUGCACAAGGCAGAAUUUUGUAAUUUAGAAUAAGAAUGCAGUGAAAUACCAAUCUGUCAUUAACAUAAGUGAUGAGAAAAGCAAGGGUCUUAAAUUAAAGUGAUAGAACCAACGUGAAGCACUAAGGACUCUAAGGAUUUGGAUUGGAUAAUUUAUCAAUAAUUAUAAUUAUGAUUUGGAAAGGCAAGGCUUCUAGAGACUUCUAGAGAGCUGUGCCCUAAAAACUCCUUGCUGUCCCCAGUCCACCUGGCCGUGCUGCUGCUCCAGUUUCAACUGUUCUGCCUGCGGCUAUGGAACCCUGACCUGUUCACCGGGACGUGCUACCUGUCCCAGAACUGCUGUUUUCAACUCUCUAGAGACAGCAGGAGCGGUAGAGAUACUCUCAAUGAUCGGCUAUGAAGAGCCAACUGACAUUUACUCCUGAGGUGCUGACUUGCUGCACCAUCGACAACUACUGUGAUUAUUAUUAUUUGAGCAUGCUGGUCAUUUAUGAACAUUUGAACAUCUUGGCCAUGUUCUGUUAUAAUCUCCACCCGGCACAGCCAGAAGAGGACUGGCCACCCCUCAUAGCCUGGUUCCUCUCUAGGUUUCUUCCUAAGUUUUGGCCUUUCUAGGGAGUUUUUCCGAGCCACCGUGCUUCUACACCUGCAUUGCUUGCUGUUUGGGGUUUUAGGCUGGCUUUCUGUACAGCACUUUGAUAUAUCAGCUGAUGUAAGAAGUGCUAUAUAAAUAAAUUUGAUUUGAUUCCA